UACGUAGGGGGCAAGCGUUGUCCGGAUUCAUUGGGCGUAAAGAGCUCGUAGGCGGCUUGGCAAGUCGGGUGUGAAACCUCCAGGCUCAACCUGGAGACGCCACCCGAUACUGCCAUGGCUAGAGUCCGGUAGGGGACCACGGAAUUCCUGGUGUAGCGGUGAAAUGCGCAGAUAUCGGGAGGAACACCGGUGGCGAAGGCGGUUCUCUGGGCCUUACCUGACGCUGAGGAGCGAAAGCGUGGGGAGCGAACAGG
rnacentral:rRNA from 1 species